UAGGGAAUCUUCGGCAAUGGACGAAAGUCUGCCCGAGCAACGCUGCGUGAGUGAAGAAGGUUUUCGGAUCGUAAAACUCUGUUGUUAGAGAAGAACAAGGACGUUAGUAACUGAACGUCCCCUGACGGUAUCUAACCAGAAAGCCACGGCUAACUACGUGCCAGCAGCCGCGGUAAUACGUAGGUGGCAAGCGUUGUCCGGAUUUAUUGGGCGUAAAGCGAGCGCAGGCGGUUUCUUAAGUCUGAUGUGAAAGCCCCCGGCUCAACCGGGGAGGGUCAUUGGAAACUGGGAGACUUGAGUGCAGAAGAGGGGAGUGGAAUUCCAUGUGUAGCGGUGAAAUGCGUAGAUAUAUGGAGGAACACCAGUGGCGAAGGCGGCUCUCUGGUCUGUAACUGACGCUGAGGCUCGAAAGCGUGGGGAGCAAACAGG
rnacentral:rRNA from 1 species